AUGCACACAGCAUCACCGGCUAUCUUCAGCACGCUAGUUAUUUCGAGCCGUUCGAUAAAGAUGAACAAUUUACAUGAACUACUUGAGAAAUGUCGUAGUCAGUUAAUCAAUGCGCCAAAAUUUACUAGCAAAGCACAAGAACCAAUCAAAGUCACACCCCCUAUAUUAAACAGUCAAACUAAAAAUCACAAAACAUCUGCUUUGAUUAGUCGAACGGCUUGUGGUCAAACCACUGCAGCAUCCCGGAAAGGAAAACUGCAGCAAACUUGUCAGCUACGGACCCAACUUUUGCGUCCGCUUACCGUUGACCCACGUUUGCGUCGAACAGUCAACUAUGUCCGGUCACUGCUGCCCGUUAAAAACGAAGAGAGAGAGAGAAAAACUGAAAGUACGCCUUCCACAUUUUUCUUCGAGCGAAAUGCGCCUUCCAUAAGCCCGCGGUCUCCAGCGGUCCAGCCCAGCUCCAGAACUGGUCCAGCUGCGCGACGAGCCGGAAAGAGUUGUAAUCGCGCGCCCCGAUAUUCGUGCCGGCCCGCGGCCGGCGCCCCCACACCGCCUCACUCCCCGCCGUCAAAUUCCGGGCCGCGCCGCCGCCAAACGCAGUCUAGCGGACCCCUCUCUCGCUUCUACCCCGGGCCCUGCGCAACCUAG
rnacentral:rRNA from 1 species